CCGGCGCACGGGUGAGUAACGCGUAUGCAACUUACCUAUCAGGAGGGGAGAACCCGGCGAAAGUCGGACUAAUACCGCAUGAAGCAGGGGCCCCGCAUGGGGAUAUUUGCUAAAGAUUCAUCGCUGAUAGAUAGGCAUGCGUUCCAUUAGGCAGUUGGCGGGGUAACGGCCCACCAAACCGACGAUGGAUAGGGGUUCUGAGAGGAAGGUCCCCCACAUUGGUACUGAGACACGGACCAA
rnacentral:rRNA from 1 species